rnacentral:misc_RNA from 1 species
GAAAUGCGAUAACUAAUGUGAAUUGCAGAAUUCCGUGAAUCAUCGAGUCUUUGAACACACAUUGCGCGCCCUGGUAUUCCGGGGGGCAUGUCUGUCCGAGCGUCAUUGCUACCCAUCAAGCACGGCUUGUGUGUUGGGUCGUCGUCCCCCAGGGACCGGCGGUGUUGGGGGCCGCGCGCAGCCCGCGCGCCCCUGAAAUGCAGUGGCGGCCCCGCCGUUCGCGUCCCCUGCGCAGUAGCACACGCUCGCACCGGAGCGCGGCGCGGCCACGCCGUAAAAUCAGCGCGCCACCCCCGGCGCACGACCCCACGAGUUUGACCUCGGAUCAGGUAGGAAUACCCGCUGAACUUAAGC